UACGUAGGGUCCGAGCGUUGUCCGGAAUUAUUGGGCGUAAAGGGCUCGUAGGCGGUUAGUCACGUCGGGAGUGAAAACUCAGGGCUCAACCCUGAGCGUGCUUCCGAUACGGGCUGACUAGAGGUAUGCAGGGGAGAACGGAAUUCCUGGUGUAGCGGUGGAAUGCGCAGAUAUCAGGAGGAACACCGGUGGCGAAGGCGCCACUCUGGGCCGAAACUGACGCUGAGGAGCGAAAGCGUGGGUAGCAAACAGG
rnacentral:rRNA from 1 species